UUUUUGCACUCUUACUUUAGGGAAAAUAUGCCAUUUCUGCUUCUGAGAAUUCAUGACUGAAAAACCUGUUAUAUUGAUCUGAGCCAGUG
rfam:Triticum aestivum genome assembly, contig: Triticum_aestivum_CS42_TGACv1_scaffold_556115_7AL